UCCCUGAUUUGCUUCUGGGAAAACAAGUCUUGAGAGCUGCGGACUCGCCCGAAGUCACGGUGCUUGAGCAGGAGUCGUCCCUGGUUGAAAGAGGCUGCAAUCUCCCCUCCCCGCCUGCUGGUGGAUUCACAGCCUUCGCGGCCUCUAGGAAGCGCUAGACCCAUGUUUGCGGUGGGCGUCAGUGCACAUGCGCAGAGGGCGUGCUGUGUUGGCAGCAGCGAUUGUCCUUAGAAUCCUCUCGGAGCCAAUGGUCAUCACCACUGCUAGGAUUUAAAGAGAAAUGUCCCUUAUUGGCUCCUGGGUUGGCACUUGGUCCCCAGCUGGUGCUGUUCAGAAAGGUCAUGGAACUGAAGAGGCAGAGGCUUGUUGGAGUAGGAAGUCACAGGGGUGAGCCUUGAGGGCGCAUAGCCUGGCCCCACUUCCUGUCUGCUCUCUGAAUCUUCCCUGGAGAGCAGAGUGACUCGCUGCCUCGCAUCCUAGCUGUGACAGACCGAAUUCUUUCUCCUACCGUGACCCAGAGGAAACCAUUCCUUCCUUCAAGUUGCUGCUGCCACCGCAAUUGGAAAGUAAAUCAGAUGUGCAACUGCCAUCUUCCCGGAACAAGAGCUGUGGGUGUUGUAGGCUUCAUGUGGUCCAAAUGCAUAUGUCUUAAAUUUUUGGGAUGGUCCUUCUCUUCAAAUCAUGCAUCUCAGCUUGACUGCGUUUGGAACCACGUGGAAGCACACCCAUGGG